rnacentral:rRNA from 1 species
AGUGAACGCUGGCGGUAGGCCUAACACAUGCAAGUCGAACGGCAGCACAGUAAGAGCUUGCUCUUACGGGUGGCGAGUGGCGGACGGGUGAGGAAUACAUCGGAAUCUACUUUUUCGUGGGGGAUAACAUAGGGAAACUUACGCUAAUACCGCAUACGACCUACGGGUGAAAGCAGGGGAUCUUCGGACCUUGCGCGAUUGAAUGAGCCGAUGUCGGAUUAGCUAGUUGGCGGGGUAAAGGCCCACCAAGGCGACGAUCCGUAGCUGGUCUGAGAGGAUGAUCAGCCACACUGGAACUGAGACACGGUCCAGACUCCUACGGGAGGCAGCAGUGGGGAAUAUUGGACAAUGGGCGCAAGCCUGAUCCAGCCAUACCGCGUGGGUGAAGAAGGCCUUCGGGUUGUAAAGCCCUUUUGUUGGGAAAGAAAAGCAGCAGGUUAAUACCCCGCUGUUCUGACAGUACCCAAAGAAUAAGCACCGGCUAACUUCGUG